rnacentral:lncRNA from 1 species
CUACUAGCAUACUUUAAGAUAUUUAAACACUUAUAUUUAUUUAUUUCAGUACGAUACUUAUUCAUUGUUUUGCUAAAUGGUAUAUGUAAAUUUUAAUUGAAAUAAAGAAAAAUAUGUAUUUUUAAUUAGGGCAAAUCUCCAAAAUAGCACUUUUUUAAGUUUAUGUCACAAAAAUAGCCCUCAAAAACUAAAAUGACCAAAAUAGUAUUUUAUCUUUUGAAAAAUUUAAUUUUUUUUUUAUUUUUCAAAAUUUGAAAUCUUAUCCCAAAACCCCACUCCCCAACUCUAAACCCUAAACUCUAAACCCUAAAUCCUAAACCCCACCCCUUAUCUCUAAACCCUAAACCCCACCCCUAAAUUCUAAACCCUAAACUCUAAACCCUAAAUCCUUAAACCUAAACCCUAAACCCUAAACCCCACCCCUUAACUCUAAACCCUAAACCCUAAACUCCACCUCUAAACUCUAAACCCUAAACCCUAAACUUUAAACUCUAAACUAAACUCUAAACCCUAAACCCUAAAUCCUAAAUCCCACCCCUUAACUCUAAACC